AUUGAACGCUGGCGGCAUGCCUUACACAUGCAAGUCGAACGGUAACGGGCCUUCGGGUGCCGACGAGUGGCGAACGGGUGAGUAAUGCAUCGGAACGUACCUUUUCAGUGGGGGAUAACGUAGCGAAAGUUACGCUAAUACCGCAUAUUCUGUGAGCAGGAAAGCAGGGGAUCGCAAGACCUUGCGCUGAUUGAGCGGCCGAUGUCAGAUUAGCUAGUUGGUGAGGUAAAGGCUCACCAAGGCGACGAUCUGUAGCGGGUCUGAGAGGAUGAUCCGCCACACUGGAACUGAGACACGGUCCAGACUCCUACGGGAGGCAGCAGUGGGGGAAUUUUUGGGACAAAUGGGGGGCAACCCCUGAUCCAGCCAUGCCGCGUGAGUG
rnacentral:rRNA from 1 species